rnacentral:rRNA from 1 species
CCUAUGGGAGGCAGCAGUGGGGAAUCUUGCGCAAUGGGCGAAAGCCUGACGCAGCAACGCCGCGUGGGGGAUGAAGGCUCUCGGGUUGUAAACCCCUUUCAGCAGGGACGAAUCAAGACGGUACCUGCAGAAGAAGCCCCGGCUAACUACGUGCCAGCAGCCGCGGUAACACGUAGGGGGCAAGCGUUGUCCGGAUUUAUUGGGCGUAAAGAGCUCGUAGGCGGCUGAGUAAGUCGGGUGUUAAAUCCCCAGGCUCAACCUGGGACACCACCCGAUACUGCUCUGGCUAGAGUCCGGUAGGGGAGCGUGGAAUUCCUGGUGUAGCGGUGAAAUGCGCAGAUAUCAGGAGGAACACCAGCGGCGAAGGCGGCGCUCUGGGCCGGAACUGACGCUGAGGAGCGAAAGCGUGGGUAGCAAACAGGAUUAGAUACCCUGGUAGUCCACGCCGUAAACGUUGGGCACUAGGUGUGGGGUCUAUUCAACGGACUCCGUGCCGUAGCUAACGCAUUAAGUGCCCCGCCUGGGGAGGUACGGCCGCGAGACGUAAACUAAAGUAGAGUAGACGGCGUGAGAGUUGCGACGACGACGACGAGGGAGGAGG